AUUGAACGCAGGCGGCAGGCUUAACACAUGCAAGUCGAGCGGAGUGAUGGUGCUUGCACUAUCACUUAGCGGCGGACGGGUGAGUAAUGCUUAGGAAUCUGCCAUUUAGUGGGGGACAACAUUCCGAAAGGAAUGCUAAUACCGCAUACGUCCUACGGGAGAAAGCAGGGGAUCUUCGGACCUUGCGCUAAAUGAUGAGCCUAAGUCGGAUUAGCUAGUUGGUGGGGUAAAGGCCUACCAAGGCGACGAUCUGUAGCGGGUCUGAGAGGAUGAUCCGCCACGCUGGGACUGAGGCACGGCCCAGACUCCUACGGGAGGCAGCAGUGGGGAAUAUUGGCAAAUGGGCGGAAGCCUGAUCCAGCCAUGCCGCGUGUGUGAAGAAGGCCUUUUGGUUGUAAAGCACUUUAAGCGAGGAGGAGGCUACUAGUACUAAUACUACUGGAUAGUGGACGUUACUCGCAGAAUAAGCACCGGCUAACUCUGUGCCAGCCGCCGCCGUAACAC
rnacentral:rRNA from 1 species